AGUGGGGGAUAACGUAGCGAAAGUUACGCUAAUACCGCAUAUGCCCUGAGGGGGAAAGGAGGGGAUCGCAAGACCUUUCGCUUUCGGAGUGGCCGAUAUCGGAUUAGCUAGUUGGUGGGGUAAAGGCCUACCAAGGCGACGAUCCGUAGCUGGUCUGAGAGGACGACCAGCCACACUGGGACUGAGACACGGCCCAGACUCCUACGGGAGGCAGCAGUGGGGAAUUUUGGACAAUGGGCGCAAGCCUGAUCCAGCCAUGCCGCGUGAGUGAAGAAGGCCUUCGGGUUGUAAAGCUCUUUCGGACAGAAAGAAAUCGCACGGGCUAAUACCCUGUGUGGAUGACGGUACUGUAAGAAGAAGCACCGGCUAACUACGUGCCAGCAGCCGCGGUAAUACGUAGGGUGCGAGCGUUAAUCGGAAUUACUGGGCGUAAAGCGUGCGCAGGCGGUUUUGUAAGACAGGUGUGAAAUCCCCGGGCUUAACCUGGGAACUGCACUUGUGACUGCAAGACUAGAGUGCGGCAGAGGGGGGUAGAAUUCCA
rnacentral:rRNA from 1 species